CCUACGGGAGGCAGCAGUGGGGAAUAUUGCACAAUGGGGGAAACCCUGAUGCAGCGACGCCGCGUGAGUGAAGAAGUAAUUCGUUAUGUAAAGCUCUAUUAGCAGGGAAGAAAAUGACGGUACCUGAGUAAGACGCCACGGCUAACUACGUGCCAGCAGCCGCGGUAAUACGUAGGGUGCGAGCGUUAUCCGGAUUUACUGGGUGUAAAGGGAGCGUAGACGGGAGUGCAAGUCUGGGGUGAAAGUCGGGGGCUCAACCCCCGGACUGCUGUUGAAACUGUACGGCUGGAGUGCAUGAGAGGUAAGUGGAAUUCCUAGUGUAGCGGUGAAAUGCGUAGAUAUUAGGAGGAACACCAGUGGCGAAGGCAGCUUACUGGACCGUAACUGACGUUGAGGCACGAAAGCGUGGGGAGCAAACAGGAUUAGAUACCCUUGUAGUC
rnacentral:rRNA from 1 species